GAGAGGAAGCAGGAGAGAGUGAGUUCUCUUUGGAACGGGACAUCAGAGGUGUAAGAUGUAGCUGCUAGAGUUUCUGGGUAUUGUGGAGGAUCUGCAAGAACUCGCCGCCAGAGGAAUGGGAUUUUAAUAAGGCUUACAACACUAGCCUUUAGAUGCUGCACCCAGAGACUGAGUUGCCAUUGUCUCUGAAGUAAGUUUGUGUUGCAAUUUCCUUCACGCGGUGCCUCGUCUGGGUUCAAGAGUGAAAGGUACAGUGGCCAAGCGUAGGUUUGCCUGAGGUGCUCCAUGAAGGCAUUUAAAGCACGGGGUUGUUGUGGUAGCGCCUCACCAGUGGGAACCUAGCGAUCUGGGUGGAGAGAUUGUGGAGUUCAGAGUCAGAAUCUCCACAACAUAAAAAACAAGUCGGCCAUUGCCCGCCAGUGCAUGGCCAGCCAGGUCUCGGGGCAGAGAGUUGAGGCACAAGCAUGGAAGCAUGCCAGUUAGUUCUAUAAUAUUUCCCGCAACAACUAUUAAAAAUUGAAACACAGAGCUUAGCACAGAAAUCUUUUAACAAAAUAUCUAACUUCCUUUCAUGACCAACUACAACAUCCUCUGCUCUGGAAGUACAGGUACUCAGAGAGUGUCCACUUCCUCCAGAAAAGGCAAGGUGGAAGAGAAACUGUAUCACAGGUGCGAAUACACAUGCACACAUGUGCACAUGCACACAGACAGACACCAGGCAAUCAGGUUUGCAGGUCCAUACACUUAACCGUGUGUCCUCAGACAACCACAAGCCUCUGUACCUUGAUUUCCUUCACAGAAUGAGCAUCCCCAACCCUUCCUUCUAAGUUACUCCUGUGAAUGCAUACUGCACUUUUCAACAAAAAUACAGCAGCACCUACCCUGAGAUUAUACAUUCCUCUACUUAAUUGUUUAGACAAAGUCUCACACCAUAGCUCAAAGGUAACCUAGCAACCCUCCUGCAUCAGCCGCUGAGAACUGAGAUUUGAGUACCAAACCCAGCUUCUGCAUUAGUUUCUACUGUACUUGAAACAUCCCUCCAUGGUAUGGGCUUCAGUGGUACUUAGGGCACACAUUUCCUUCUUAACCAGUUACUUACAGAAGGUCUCCACAAACAUUCAAUUCAAAUGAGUUGGUUACAGAGCCACCACUCACAGGAGUGAAGGCUUAGGUCCUGAACCUCUGGACACCACAUCUCUAUUGCUCAGUAGAUAGUGUCACUAUGUAUUUCUGUAUAAAGACACUUUAUAUUGUUGACUCAUAACCACUGAACUCACGGUCAGGAGCUGGGACUCUAUCAGCCUGACCAAAACAUUUCUUAUCACGUGGAUUUUCUCACAGCUUCCUUGUACUUAGGAACAUUAGCCGGCACUUCAUUACUUCAUUGCUUCAUUACUUCUUUGGUUGUUUUGUUGUCUUGUCUUGUCUUGCUUUGCUUUUUGAAACACAGUCUAAUCGUGUAGCCCCAACUGGCUUUGAACAUUCGAUCCCCUGCCUCAGACUCUUGAGUCCUGGGAUUGAAAGCAUGCACCACUACUAACCACUGCCUAGGCACGAAACAGGAAAUGCAGAGCUGGCGAGAAGGCUCAGCAGGGCUGGCCACCAAGCCUCCUGACCUAAGUUUGAUCCCAGAGAACAGACUCGCACAGCUUGUUCUUGUUUCUAGCAUAAGAACUGAAAGAAGACAAAUAUUGGCCUUGGCAUCUGUGGGGUGGGUCCAGUAGGUUACCAUUCUCGCGGCUGAAGCAGCGGCCACAGAAGAGUGAAACACAGUGAGAACACUGCUUAUGAGAUUACAACUGACUUUUAGCAAGUGGCGGGUUCACAA
rnacentral:lncRNA from 1 species